AGCUUGCUACCUGACCUAGCGGCGGACGGGUGAGUAAUGCUUAGGAAUCUGCCUAUUAGUGGGGGACAACAUUCCGAAAGGAAUGCUAAUACCGCAUACGCCCUACGGGGGAAAGCAGGGGAUCUUCGGACCUUGCGCUAAUAGAUGAGCCUAAGUCAGAUUAGCUAGUUGGUGGGGUAAAGGCCUACCAAGGCGACGAUCUGUAGCGGGUCUGAGAGGAUGAUCCGCCACACUGGGACUGAGACACGGCCCAGACUCCUACGGGAGGCAGCAGUGGGGAAUAUUGGACAAUGGGCGAAAGCCUGAUCCAGCCAUGCCGCGUGUGUGAAGAAGGCCUUUUGGUUGUAAAGCACUUUAAGCGAGGAGGAGGCUACUUGGAUUAAUACUCUAGGAUAGUGGACGUUACUCGCAGAAUAAGCACCGGCUAACUCUGUGCCAGCAGCCGCGGUAAUACAGAGGGUGCGAGCGUUAAUCGGAUUUACUGGGCGUAAAGCGUGCGUAGGCGGCUUUUUAAGUCGGAUGUGAAAUCCCUGAGCUUAACUUAGGAAUUGCAUUCGAUACUGGGAAGCUAGAGUAUGGGAGAGGAUGGUAGAAUUCCAGGUGUAGCGGUGAAAUGCGUAGAGAUCUGGAGGAAUACCGAUGGCGAAGGCAGCCAUCUGGCCUAAUACUGACGCUGAGGUACGAAAGCAUGGGGAGCAAACAGGAUUAGAUACCCUGGUAGUCCAUGCCGUAAACGAUGUCUACUAGCCGUUGGGGCCUUUGAGGCUUUAGUGGCGCAGCUAACGCGAUAAGUAGACCGCCUGGGGAGUACGGUCGCAAGACUAAAACUCAAAUGAAUUGACGGGGGCCCGCACAAGCGGUGGAGCAUGUGGUUUAAUUCGAUGCAACGCGAAGAACCUUACCUGGUCUUGACAUAGUAAGAACUUUCCAGAGAUGGAUUGGUGCCUUCGGGAACUUACAUACAGGUGCUGCAUGGCUGUCGUCAGCUCGUGUCGUGAGAUGUUGGGUUAAGUCCCGCAACGAGCGCAACCCUUUUCCUUAUUUGCCAGCGAGUUAAGCCGGGAACUUUAAGGAUACUGCCAGUGACAAACUGGAGGAAGGCGGGGACGACGUCAAGUCAUCAUGGCCCUUACGACCAGGGCUACACACGUGCUACAAUGGUCGGUACAAAGGGUUGCUACCUAGCGAUAGGAUGCUAAUCUCAAAAAGCCGAUCGUAGUCCGGAUUGGAGUCUGCAACUCGACUCCAUGAAGUCG
rnacentral:rRNA from 1 species